CCUACGGGUGGCAGCAGUGAGGAAUAUUGGUCAAUGGGCGCGAGCCUGAACCAGCCAAGUAGCGUGAAGGAGGAAGGCCCAAAGGGUGGUAAACUUCGUUUAUAAGGGAAUAAAGUGCAGUAUGUAUACUGCUUUGCAUGUACCUUAUGAAUAAGGAUCGGCUAACUCCGUGCCAGCAGCCGCGGUAAUACGGAGGAUCCGAGCGUUAUCCGGAUUUAUUGGGUUUAAAGGGAGCGUAGGCGGGUUGUUAAGUCAGUUGUGAAAGUUUGCGGCUCAACCGUAAAAUUGCAGUUGAUACUGGCAUCCUUGAGUACAGUAGAGGUAGGCGGCAUUCGUGUUGUAGCGGUGCAAUGCUUAGAUAUCACGCAGAACUCCGAUUGCGAAGGCAGCCUGCUGGACUGUAACUGACGCUGAUGCUCGAAAGUGUGGGUAUCAAACAGGAUUAGAUACCCCGGUAGUC
rnacentral:rRNA from 1 species